UGGGUAACCUGCCUUAUAGUGGGGGAGUAGCCUUUCGAAAGGAAGAUUAAUACCGCAUAAGAUUGUAGUAUCGCAUGAUAUAGCAAUUAAAGGAGCAAUCCGCUAUAAGAUGGACCCGCGUCGCAUUAGCUAGUUGGUGAGGUGAUGGCUCACCAAGGCGACGAUGCGUAGCCGACCUGAGAGGGUGAUCGGCCACACUGGAACUGAGACACGGUCCAGACUCCUACGGGAGGCAGCAUG
rnacentral:rRNA from 1 species